AUUGUCACUGAUGAUUACUUUGACCCUUGGUUGAGUUUAACGACCAUGAGAAAACUCACAUGCACUACCAUCUGAGACAAU